rnacentral:rRNA from 1 species
AUUGAACGCUGGCGGCAUGCUUUACACAUGCAAGUCGAACGGCAGCGCGGGCUUCGGCCUGGCGGCGAGUGGCGAACGGGUGAGUAAUGCAUCGGAACGUGCCCAGUAGUGGGGGAUAGCCCGGCGAAAGCCGGAUUAAUACCGCAUACGACCUGAGGGUGAAAGCGGGGGACCGAAAGGCCUCGCGCUAUUGGAGCGGCCGAUGUCGGAUUAGCUAGUUGGUGGGGUAAAGGCUUACCAAGGCGACGAUCCGUAGCUGGUCUGAGAGGACGACCAGCCACACUGGGAAUGAGACACGGCCCAGACUCCUACGGGAGGCAGCAGUGGGGAAUUUUGGACAAUGGGGGCAACCCUGAUCCAGCCAUGCCGCGUGCGGGAAGAAGGCCUUCGGGUUGGAAAACGCUUUUGUUCGGGAAGAAAUCCUAUGGGCUAAUACCCCGGGGGGAUGACGGUACCGGAAGAAUAAGCACCGGCUAACUACGUG